ACGAACGCUGGCGGCGUGGAUAAGACAUGCAAGUCGAACGAGAGAAUUGCUAGCUUGCUAAUAAUUCUCUAGUGGCGCACGGGUGAGUAACACGUGAGUAACCUGCCCCCGAGAGCGGGAUAGCCCUGGGAAACUGGGAUUAAUACCGCAUAGUAUCGAAAGAUUAAAGCAGCAAUGCGCUUGGGGAUGGGCUCGCGGCCUAUUAGUUAGUUGGUGAGGUAACGGCUCACCAAGGCGAUGACGGGUAGCCGGUCUGAGAGGAUGUCCGGCCACACUGGAACUGAGACACGGUCCAGACACCUACGGGUGGCAGCAGUCGAGAAUCAUUCACAAUGGGGGAAACCCUGAUGGUGCGACGCCGCGUGGGGGAAUGAAGGUCUUCGGAUUGUAAACCCCUGUCAUGUGGGAGCAAAUUAAAAAGAUAGUACCACAAGAGGAAGAGACGGCUAACUCUGUGCCAGCAGCCGCGGUAAUACAGAGGUCUCAAGCGUUGUUCGGAAUCACUGGGCGUAAAGCGUGCGUAGGCUGUUUCGUAAGUCGUGUGUGAAAGGCGCGGGCUCAACCCGCGGACGGCACAUGAUACUGCGAGACUAGAGUAAUGGAGGGGGAACCGGAAUUCUCGGUGUAGCAGUGAAAUGCGUAGAUAUCGAGAGGAACACUCGUGGCGAAGGCGGGUUCCUGGACAUUAACUGACGCUGAGGCACGAAGGCCAGGGGAGCGAAAGGGAUUAGAUACCCCUGUAGUCCUGGCAGUAAACGGUGCACGCUUGGUGUGCGGGGAAUCGACCCCCUGCGUGCCGGAGCUAACGCGUUAAGCGUGCCGCCUGGGGAGUACGGUCGCAAGAUUAAAACUCAAAGAAAUUGACGGGGACCCGCACAAGCGGUGGAGUAUGUGGCUUAAUUCGAUGCAACGCGAAGAACCUUACCUGGGCUUGACAUGUAAUGAACAACAUGUGAAAGCAUGCGACUCUUCGGAGGCGUUACACAGGUGCUGCAUGGCCGUCGUCAGCUCGUGUCGUGAGAUGUUUGGUUAAGUCCAGCAACGAGCGCAACCCCUGUUGCCAGUUACCAGCACGUGAAGGUGGGGACUCUGGCGAGACUGCCCAGAUCAACUGGGAGGAAGGUGGGGACGACGUCAGGUCAGUAUGGCCCUUAUGCCCAGGGCUGCACACGUACUACAAUGCCCAGUACAGAGGGGGCCGAAGCCGCGAGGCGGAGGAAAUCCUAAAAACUGGGCCCAGUUCGGACUGUAGGCUGCAACCCGCCUACACGAAGCCGGAAUCGCUAGUAAUGGCGCAUCAGCUACGGCUCCGUGAAUACGUUCCCGGGUCUUGUACACACCGCCCGUCACAUCAUGGAAGCCGGUCGCACCCGAAGUAUCUGAAGCCAACCGCAAGGAGGCAGGGUCCUAAGGUGAGACUGGUAACUGGGAUG
rnacentral:rRNA from 1 species